rnacentral:lncRNA from 1 species
UUGUGCUUCACAUAACAGACUAGCUCAUUCUUAACCUGCAAAAAAGCUCGAUAGCGACACCUCUACUACGUGUGGUUCGUUACGAGAAUGGCAAGCACGUCACAACCCUUCACAAAGGUGAAGAGUUUGAUGGCAGCCUGUACCACAGCAGGAACGAGUCCGCAUCGGUGUACGUUUUACGUUCAGAAGAUGGCGUCGAAGUGGAGGGCAUCAUUGGCCCAUAUAAGCGCAUCGAACCGAUGCUAACUAUGGCAAGAACCACGGAUGGACGAAUUGCCCACAUUGUACAGAACGUCGAAGCACAUA